UUUCCAUGAGGCCGAGAGAAGAUGACAUUAAUCUUCAGUACUGUUCUCUGGCACAGCGGUGUCCGGCCAGAUGAUGCCAGCCCACCAUGGUCUUCUGCACAGGGAGCUGUUGGAGGAAAGAGGGCUCCUGAUGCUUUGAAGUCGGCGGGGGUCUGCUGAACUGAAGAGGGACAAUACGCUAUGAAUUCAACACGGCGUUCUUUUGCCUGCCGAGUCACUUAUUUGUUCUCUAGCGCAAUUAAACGUUUCCAGGGCAACGGUUCAAAGAAACCCACAAAAAAAUAACAAUCAAAACAUUAUAAAAAAUGCA